rnacentral:rRNA from 1 species
UACGUAGGGGGCAAGCGUUGUCCGGAAUCAUUGGGCGUAAAGCGCGUGUAGGCGGUCCGGUAAGUCGGCUGUGAAAGUCCAGGGCUCAAACCCCUGGGAUGCCGGUCGAUACUGCCGGACUAGAGUUCGGAAGAGGCGAGUGGAAUUCCCGGUGUAGCGGUGAAAUGCGCAGAUAUCGGGAGGAACACCAAUGCGAGGCGAGCUC